UGUUAUCACUCCUACUACUGAAGAACCAGCAGCUGAAGUUGCGGAUGAACCAAAGGAAGCUGUUGUGGCUUCUGAGGAAGAAGUACCUAAGGCUGAGGUCGAGGAAACCGUAGUUGAAGCUGAGGCAAAGGAUGUGAAGGUAGAGGAGCCCAAGGAAGUUGCAGCAGUCGAAAAAGAAGAAGAACCAACUGUGGAGAAGACUACAACUGAAGAGGAAACUACUACACCUAAUAAGGUAGCACCUGAGCCAGAGCCAGAACCAGUACUUGAGGAGGAGGCCAAGGACAAGGAGGAUACUGCUGAUGACUCUG
rnacentral:lncRNA from 1 species